GUAGUUAGCCGUGGCUUAUUCAUCAGGUACCGUCACUUGCUUCGUCCCUGAUAAAAGAAGUUUACAACCCGAAAACCUUCUUCCCUCACGCGGCGUUGCUGGGUCAGGCUUGCGCCCAUUGCCCAAUAUUCCCCACUGCUGCCUCCCGUAGGAGUCUGGACCGUGUCUCAGUUCCAGUGUGGCCGAUCAGCCUCUCAGCUCGGCUACCCAUCGCAGGCUUGGUGGGCUGUUAUCUCACCAACUACCUAAUGGGACGCGAACCCCUCCUUCAGCGGAUUGCUCCUUUGACCUCAUCCCGAUGCCGGGUCGUGGUCUUAUGCGGUAUUAGCACUUGUUUCCAGGUGUUAUCCCCCUCUGAAGGUCAGGUUGUUCACGCGUUACUCACCCGUUCGCCACUAAAAUUUAUCUUCCAUCCGAAAACUUCUGAUAAAUCUCCGUUCGACUUGCAUGUGUUAGGCACGCCGCCAGCGUCGUCCUGAGCCACUAAUCAAACUACUGA
rnacentral:rRNA from 1 species